UAAAUACUACCUCCGUCCCAAUUUAGUUGUCGCAGAAAUGGAUAAAAAUGGAUGUAUCUAUAUCUAAAAUACGUUAAGAUACAUCCAUUUCUGCGACAAGUAAUUCCGGAUGGAGGGAGUAAUAC
rfam:Triticum aestivum genome assembly, contig: Triticum_aestivum_CS42_TGACv1_scaffold_437040_5DL